UUGUCAGAAAAUUGAGCAAAACUGUGAACUUGUGGUUAAAGGAAACAGAUAACAAAUCAAACUCGACAACUUAUCUGUAUUGAAUCUAUUGACACUGAUAAGAAAUCACAAAGUAACACCCAAAUUAUUUCACGUUAAAAUGGGCGUUUUAGCAUCGACUGUUCGAUGCAUGUCACUAAUUUUUAAUGUUUUCCUUGGGUUUCUUUCGAUUCUUGUCACAGGAUAUGGAAUUAUUUUAAUAAAUAACGAACACAAAGCUCGUCCUGUCGGCCCAGCUUCACUUGGAGGUCGAUUCAGUGCGUUCGGAGUAGUGACAUUUCUCGUAUCGUUCUUCGGCUGUUGUGGAUCCAUUAAAGACAACAUAAAAUUUCUGUCGUGUUGUUGUUUGUACGCCUGCUUCGUUGUGCUAGCGUGGGAGCAGUUUCGAUAAGAUUAUUUAAUUUGCUUGGAGAUUUAUUCGGAAUGUGGAAGACCACAGUGAAAUUUAUGUAUAUUGCGUCUCGCUGAUACUAUAAAAUACGUCCUCCUGUAUCUAUUAAUGUUGCAAUAAAAACCGAAAGUUAAAUUAA